UCGAGAAUAUUUGUCAAUGGGCGAAAGCCUGAACAAGCGACGCCGCGUGCAGGAUGAAGGCCUUCGGGUCGUAAACUGCGGUAGUAAGGGAAGAAUGCAUUUCGUUUUACGGUGUGCAUGACGGUACCUUACGGAAAGAGGUGGGUAACUACGUGCCAGCACCAGCGGUAAUACGUAGACCUCAAGCAUUAUCCGAAUUUAUUGGGCGUAAAGAGCAUGUAGGAGGUCAGAUGCGUCUUCGGUUAAAGCCCACUGCCUAACGGUGGAAGUGCCGAGGAUACGAUUUGACUAGAGGAGGUUAGAGGUACAUGGAACGCACGGUGUAGGGGUGAAAUCCGUUGAUAUCGUGCGGAACACCAAAGGCGAAGGCAGUGUACUGGGACCUUCCUGACUCUGAGAU
rnacentral:rRNA from 1 species